rnacentral:ncRNA from 1 species
AUAAUGAGACUCCCGUCCAGUCACAGCCCCAUAGGAAUAUGGGAUCACGCAAUGAGGGCGGCUCUGUGAGAACCACAGAGGGGUUCGAUUCCCGUGA